CCCCGCCCCCAACCUGCGUUUGUCCACCUUUCUUUUCUCCUUCUUUCGUCCUAACCCUCCCCUAGUUCCUUCCUCAAUUUCUUGGUCCCUGUCGGGUUCUCCUCUCGGUGUCUGUCCCUUCUUCUCUCCCUCUCCAGGAUCUGUCCCCUCCCUUCUCCUCCUCUCAGCGGCUGCCUCCCUGGCGCCCCCUCCUCAUCAUCUCGGGAGAUGAAUAUGUCGCCUUAUUGGAUGCCGAGGCCAGAGCCGGGUGACGGGGCUCGGUGAGAGUCGCGCAUUUUCUUCCUGCAUAUUGAGGCCUCGUUAUGGGAACCCCCGCCUGGCUCGCCGUGGCUCCGGCGCGCUCUCCGCCCAGCGGCCUCUGAGCCCCUCCCCUGGCGUUUAGAGGCCUGUGAUGGAGCGCCACCGGGAAAUUAGCGCCUGACAACGUCGUCUAUUGGCAAUAAAUUGUUUGCAAUUCCGGGUGACACAUCGCGGGAUCAAACCCAGCCUCAACCUAGCCAGACUCGGUCUCCAAGAGCAGAGGUCCUUCCCCGAGGUUGGCCGAACUCGGGACCCUCGACCCAGGUGCACCUCCCAAAGUGAAGGUUUAUCAGAGCCAAGGCGCAAACUGAGCUGAGACCAAGGGAACCGACGUGAGUUGCUGAGAAAUCAGAAGCCAAGAGCCUGGUUCUAGACACCGUCGCGCAGAGGACCCUGGACAGGAAGCGUUUGCUCUAACCCCGUGUUCCUUCCUGCUCCCUGUCAGGGGAGUCAGAGUUCCCGGUUCCAAAGAAAAACGUAAAAGUCUGACCUUGCCUGGAAUUGCCUGAGGUCAAGUUUCCCCAACUUCAAAUUUUUGCUACCACCUCUACUCUUUAUUGACUUAACAUUUUUUCCUUAAAUCAGGUCAUUUUAAAAACUCAAAUAUGUAUUUUUUGGAUGAAGAGUUGAUACUACGAUUGGUAUGACUGUAAAAAAAAUUAAAAUAAUAAAAGGAGCUGUUAGUCACCAGAAAAGGAAAUUGUAGAAGAUAAAGAGCUAAAAAUCAAGCACUAUUCAUACAUUUUGCCCAGGCUUGCUUGGGAAAGACUUCUAGGGGUUCAAGAGCAUGUAUGUAUCAUUAGCAAAUGCUGAGGUGUUAAAUAGUGAAUCUUUCUAGGAAGAAAUGAGAACAUUGAAAAGAGAAUACUUCUUACCCUUCAGUAUUCAUUUAAUUCUCUGCCCUCACUAUCUCAAGUCAUAUUGAGGUUCCCAAGAGCAGCCCUGCUUUGGGAUUCGCCUGCAUUAUUCUGUUGAAGAUUAUGUAAAUAAAUUAAGAUUAAAGCAUAA